CUGACACAGAGUCUGCCAGAGAGACUCCUCCUCAGAGGUCCAUGCUCACCACGGGAGCUGGAGGAGAAGAUGACUGAGGAGUAGCAGAAGGAGAUUGAAGAUGGAGCCCAGAGAAGGUGAUCAUCUUAUGCAGAGGAGAAUGGUCAGAUUUUCACCUCCUUCAAGACUUGAGAGCCCUACUGUGAAAGAUGAGAACAAUACACCUGCUCACCUAACUGAAAUAUGGGGGAAAGUGCAUCCUAUGUUGACUUGAUAAGGGCUGUGGAACAUUAAGCACCAAAUAAAUAUCCUGCUCAAGACUGGAAGAGUAACAGUUUUGUGAGGACUUACUCCUAACUGCCCUACC